rnacentral:lncRNA from 13 species
GGGAAAUCCCCGGCCGUGUCCGGGAUUGUCCCGCGGUGUCCGUGCGGGGACCGCCGUGCGGGGGGGAAGGGGCCCCGCCAGGGGGCGCCGUGCGAGCGCAGCGGGGCUGCUGUGGGGAACGCCCGGGAUACCGGGACAUCGGGAUACCGGGAUGAGGCAGCUCCUGGGCACACCCGGAACACGCCCAGGACAUCGGGACACCGGGAUGGGGCGGCUCCUGGGCAUACCCGGAACACGCCCAGGACACCGGGACAUCGGGAUGGGGCAGCUCCCUGGGCACGCCCGGGGCGCACCCGGGACACCGGGAGAGGGCAGCUCUUCAGGCACACUCGGGACGCGCGGGACACGCUGCAGGAGCAGCUCGCUGGGCAGUCCCGAAUCCCCAGCGCUGCCCCUCAUACUGCCUUCUCCAGCCCACCUCGCCAUGGUUAUUGCUGUUUCCUCUAUAGGAUUACAAACACUUGUCAGUGGAUGAACCAAAGCACUCCAAAGAAGGGCCCUAUUUGACUUAAUUGCUGACAGCCACAGGGAUGGACUCGGAAGAACUGGAGUUGACAACUACUCUGACCAUUCUGGGUAAAAUCAUGGAACUUGAGUUUUUUUAAUGUUAAAUUCAUGGCCACAGUAUUUGAGUGCAUGCAGGCAUCUCCUUGACACCUAUUCCUGAACAUCUCGGCAACAGUAUCCCUCUCUGUCCCAAGCUGCUGUAGGAUAGGUUGGUUUUGUAAUGCCAUUUCUUAACUGUUAAAGCCUUUAAAAGUGAAAUUGUUGUCUGAGGGACUAAUCAAUCCCUCACCCACUGCACACAAUGCUUCUUGAAACCAGCCAUUUCAUCAGCUUUCAUGCACUGAUGUAUUUCUCUCAGUGCUUUGAAGGUGACUUCAUUAUUGAAGCAGUGACACUGGUGCUGUGAGCUCAGAAUGAUGUGUUUGCUUUGGCAAACGGGACAGCUUGACUUGUAUCUUGGUAAAGGAGGAUCCUGUUGACUCUUUCUGCCUUUGCCCAAGGUUUCAGGUAGGGUCCCUGUCUUAUCCUUGUCUUUAUGGGUGUCAGGUAUUAUUUGUCUUUUCUAGUCUCAGGUUCUGCUGCUACCUGUGAAAAAGUUCAAGUGUCUAUUCUACCCUGGAAUCAGCUAUUAUCAAACUGCAUCAUCCAUCAGCAAAAUCAAUUUACACUUCCUCCUAUCUCAUUAACUUUAUCCUUUAGUUUCUCUGUCUGCUGAGGUUCAGGGUUACAAAAGAUCUGGGCCUUCCCUCUUCCUAAAAUGGCAGUUCCUUUUUGGUGCCUGACAUUUCUUUUGAGAAAGUGACAUCAGAAUUAAAUAGAAAGACCCUUUCUAAGGGCUAGGCUGUAAGUGAGAGAAGUGAGGUCAAAAAAACAAAACUAUAAACUACUCUCAGAGAAACAAAUCAAUCCUCUGCUAGGCACACAGCUGAAUGUACAGGAGCUUCAUUCAGGGGUAAAGUUGGAAAUACAACAGACCUGAAAAAGGCAUUCACAGGAAAAAAAGGACUAAUAUAAACUGAAAUUCAUCUGUGCUCUGGAAUAUCCUUUCUUUAAGCUCCAGACAGCUAUUGCUUUCAUCAAAUCCCAUUCAUCCUCUAUUUUACUUCAUUUCCUUCUUAAUGGCUUAUCCUGAGCUCAUCUUUCCUUCAGUUCCCUUUGCCCCUUGCUGCUGGCCUUCUGUUUUGCCAGGGACAUGCCUAUCUGAUCUGUUGCAAACAGGGCUGGCAGUAAAUGCUAAGGAGAAAGACAACUUUGGUUCAAACUGUUUGUUUCCUUGUUCUACCCAAGAAUGCAAUGAGGAAUCUUCUGGGUUUUUUCUGAGCAUUUCGAUCGAAGAGUCUUUCUUCAAUUCUUAUUCUUAUUCAACUCUUUCUUCAACUAUCAAAUUUCUUAUAUUUAAGUGAAAAGAAGGAAAAAAGAAACAAAGAAGUUUAGGAAGGUAUGUUGUCUUCAAAACAGGGAUUUGGCCAAAGUUCAGCCCCUGGGAGAGGUAAUCUAGAUGUAUGAUAGAGAGAGGUAACCAUGAUGUCGAAGGUGUGCAUCCAGGGAGAACAUUAGGAAAAAAAUGGUGCUUGCAAGCAAUAUAGAUCAAGGGAACUUAAGAGCAACUGGAACUACUGGAAUCUGAUAGAGUGCUCCUGAGAGGCUGUGCCUAGAUGCAUUACCUUUAUUAACCUCAGAUGUCAGGUCCUGCCCUGUGUACAAUCAUUUUGGUCUUUGGGAAACUCUGGGUUUUCCUGAAUCAUCUUAUGACCAACAUGAGAUUCAUGUCAAAGUCCCAUGGCAAGUCCUGAAGAAAGAAACAAGAAUGAGUCAGACAUGUCAAACAGCUCUUUACACCUCUCAGGUGGCCUCUGAAUUCCAGAAAAUGAGACAGCCCCAAUGUGUUCUCAAGGUCUUAUCACAGAAACUAAUUCACAGCUUGCACAAUGCCUACUAAAUACUGAGAGGGGCAGGAGAAUUCAGAGGAGUGGUGGCUGUGCAGCUGCAUGUUGCUUCUUGAAGCCCAAAACAAACAGACUGGAGGAGCUGGGGAAAAUUCUAGACCAGACUUAAAUAAUAUAUGGUUUGCAGAACACACUUGGCCAAUUAAACAAUUUGUUUGUCCUGCCAGAUGCUGAGGAGACAGUAUGUCAUUUGGAUUAGUGGGUGCCUCAGAGAGCUUCCCAUGCCUUCCACCAGCUUGCCAGCUACUGCAGGCAAGGUGUCCUCCCAGCCAGCACAUCCACGCCUCUCAGCUGUGCAGCUGCCAAAAAAAGUGUGGUGUCACAGUCAGUGAAGAGGCAGAGGAGAGGGAAAGUAUAUGAGAAGACAAGGAGGAUGGAAGAGCAGAGGCAGUGAUAGAGGCAGUUCUGAUAAGGUAUGACAAAAGGUGCAGUUUGAACUUGCUAAGCCUACCCACCUAACUGCUGCAGUGAGGCAUUCCAGGCCAAAAUCCUAUCGUACAGGGAAAUUGGGCUGAGUCACCAAAUUCAUUCCUCUGCUGUUUCAUGCAUCACACCAUGCAACGCCUGACAAAGUCUGCUUUGUUUGGUUUUGUCUCUGGGGUUCCCAUAGGGAGGCUCUUCCAGGUCCUCCCUUUCUAAUAGGUAUAGUCAUUUUCUGCUGCUUGUUUAUAGCUAGUUUGCCCUUAUACUUAAACCUUGCCUUAGCUCUCGAAGUUCUUUGCCCUGCCUGUUGAUAUAUUGACACACAACAAUUACACCCACUCUGGCUUCACUUUGCAGACUGUGCAGUCUAAGCAAUAGUUCAGCCUGUCUAGGAGAGCUGAGUUGCACACACUGUAUAAUCAGUGUCUUUCAAAUGAUACCUAAAAAAACCUGUGGACUUUUUGGUAUCUUUCAUUCAGAGUAUUUAACCGGUGUCAAUCCUUCCUGAGUCCUUUUGUAGCAAAGUGUGUUCUUUGCAGCUCUCUUUGCUGGAAGGAUAGGAAUUUCAAGCCCACAAAUCAGUAAAGCUUCCAUAUGCUUGGAGUUGGGCAUGUGCAUAACUGUUUUUCUGGAUCCAGAUUAGAGUUCUCACCACUUGACAAGAUUCAGCUUGUGGUUUGUGAAGUGCUGCCAGUUUGUCUGGAAUUAAAGAUUUAUAUAAAAUAUCAAUUAAAAAAAAAGGCAAUUCCCUGUUCCAGGUUUAUGUGUGCACUGCAUUAAUUAAUAGGUGGUUGGGAAACAUGAAGGACACUGUGCAACAACAUUGCUUGUAUCACACUUCAUGUCAUGUGAGAGCUGAUCCAUGUUCCCAAAGCACUGACAACUAUCUACAUGCAAAAUCAAGAUGGGAAGGGACAAAUAAAGGUGCAGAGAUGGUAUUUCCAGUAUCAGGAAGGGGCAGCACCUCUUGAUCUCUGAAUGUAGCAAGUAUUCACUUUACUCUGCUUUCAUGCAUCGUGAUGCCUUUUCUGGGGAUGAAAUGCUGUACAAACAAUUAUAGGGGAGCUUAAAUGGAGCAGUAACAAUUUUUCUUGGCCUCUGUAUUGCUGAUUUCCAGCCUGCAGUGACCAACACCAGAUUUUAUUUGUAUGGAUCCACCAGAAAUGUCAGGACAGGAAUUCCUGGCUUAAGUCGACUGACCCCCGAGGAGUACUGAAGGACUGACAGGACUCUGAAAUGACAAGUGCAAACCCAAAGCUGCAGUUUUUUCUCAGCAAAACAGAAGUGCGGUGAGGAAGCAAUACCGCGUGCCCUUCCGCAGGGCUGAGCAGUGGGAGAGGAGGAGAAGAACGGGUGAGCGGUCAUUGCGGUUCGGCAGCGGGGGGCCGAAGGGCUGCGAGCCGGGAUGCAGAAGGCAGUGCCCGGGCAAGCCUGAGGCGGGCGGGCAGCGCCCGCAGGUGCCGCGAGUCAGCCCGGCGGGGGCGGGCGGCGGGCGGCGGCCCCGGGGGAGGAGCGGGGCUCGGGCCGUCCCUGGCGCGCGUGUCCCCGGCGCGGGGCCGGGCUAUCGGGAGGAGGGCAGGGCGAGGGCGGGGCGGUUGGCGCGGCUGGCCCGGCCCGCCGAGGAGGAAGGGAAGGGAAGGGGAGCGGACUGCGCUGUUGCCCUUUUAAGCGAGCGAGCGGGCGCAGGAGGCCGGUACAAAGGGAGCUCCGCCGUGCCCCGCCGGCUGGGGCUGCCCCGGCCCCGCCAUCUUCUGCCCCGCAGGCGCGGCCGGGGCCAGGGUCGGGCCGGCUGAGUCGGAGGGAGGCGGCGGCAGCGCAGGCCCG